CACUCCAGCCUGGGCAACGAGAGUGAAACUUCAUCUCAAAAAAAAAAAAAAAGAAGAAAAAAAAACUGCAACAGAAGCAUGGGGCACCCUGCAGCCUCUCAUCUUCAGCCUCUGCGCUGGGAUCCAUCAAUUCCCCUCCCACUUGACUGUCAGAUUAAAAGGGUCUUUGCUAAUUUCAGCCUAACUCAGGAGAAAGCUGACCUCGAUUUAGCUGGAAUGACAGUGAUAACUAAUUUGUACAUCAGAAUUAAUAAAGCCAGCAAUUUCCUCACAGGGAGGGAAAGAUGAUGUGGUUCUCUUGCAUCUGCACUGAGAUGGCUUUUUGGCAAAGGCAGAGAAUGCUGAUUCUCCACACUCCCAGGAGGGGGUUCUGCUGACAGCUCCUGGGCUGUCACCUGAAUUGGGGUGUAGUGGACUAGGGACAUCCCAAGCCAACCAGCCAGGCACUGGAUGGGUGGGCUCUUGAUCCCUUGAGAUCACUGCAGUCUUUGAAGGAAAGUCAGUAGGUCUGGAAGCAAGUGUGGUGGGGGCCCCUUCCCCAUGGGGUGCCAGGAACUCCUGUUAAAAUAGCUCCACCAGACCUCCAUAUUUUCUGUCCUUUUUACAGGCAAGAAUUCAACUCUGGGUCCUAAGCAGGGGUUAUCCUGGUCAAUAAGCAACUUCAGUUUCUUGGGACAGGACCCCAGCCUUGCUGGUAAUGACAUCAUUGUUUCUUUACUGGAAGACAGCAGUGUAUUCCAGGAACGCAAUGCAGUGAAAGCAACCACUUGGCCCUUGAGACAGAGCCUCAUUUCUGGGAAAGAGGCAGUCUCCUUGGCCGUAAGCGGGUGAUGAAGACUCAGCACACUGAGAUGGAAUGUCCUCAGUUCCCAGUUGAGUGAGCCUACAAGGACUGGGACAUCCCAACCUUCGGAUGAUGAUGGAGGUGGGAGGAGACAGUGCCAGGCAGGAGACGUGGGGCUGGGGUUCUGCCCUGUCCUGGUCUGGCUCAGCAUUCGGGGCAAGUCGCUGCCCUAGCUGAGGCCAGCUUUGUCAGCAGUGAAACGGGUGAAUGCUUGCCUCUGCUUGAAUCAAGAGUUUAUCAGGGUGCUGUGGGAAAAAUUCUAUGAAGUUUCUUUGUAACAU